rnacentral:rRNA from 1 species
GCAGUAGCCGCGGUAAUACGGAGGGCGCGAGCGUUACCCGGAUUUACUGGGCGUAAAGGGCGUGUAGGCGGCCUGGGGCGUCCCAUGUGAAGGGCCACGGCUCAACCGUGGAGGAGCGUGGGAUACGCUCAGGCUAGAGGGUGGGAGAGGGUGGUGGAAUUCCCGGAGUAGCGGUGAAAUGCGCAGAUACCGGGAGGAACGCCGAUGGCGAAGGCAGCCACCUGGUCCACUUCUGACGCUGAGGCGCGAAAGCGUGGGGAGCAAACCGGAUUAGAUACCCGCGUAGUCCCUGUCUCUUAUAA